rnacentral:lncRNA from 1 species
UCAUGCUUCAAAUAAAAUUGGCACAUUAACUUGGAAGAGGAGAGAAAAGGACAGUGAAGGAAGGAAGCUGAGCAGAGAGAUGAAGCUAAGCAACAUCUGAAAGGUAGCUGACCAGUGCAAUGGAUGUUUUAGACACAACAAAUACCCUGUUAAGCUGGAUUCCUAACAUAGCCAUGGAUUUUCAUUUCUGUUCUGAAAGAAUUUGGAUCUGAUGUAACCCAGGUGUUAUUCAUGAAGAAUAUAUGCAUAAAAGUAUUAGUCCUGCCAGAAACAUUCCAGACCAUCAAAAGAGAAUAGAGAAACUUGCUGAACUCUGGAAGACAGUGGUUAUAUGGAGAAGAAAAGUAGUUUUUCAGACAGUGUGUUGGGACCUCCAGAGGAUGAAAGACAUUCAGAAGCAAAGACAAUCUGAUUCUUCUCCUGGUCUCCAUCCACUCUCUGCAGACCGUCUUCGUCAAGAAGCUGUCCACUUUCAAAGGCAGAACAUUAGGCAAAAUGGGCCAUGCUUCUUCGCUGGAACAGCAGAUCCAGUGCUCACAGUCAAGGCAAUUUACAGCACAGCUGUUGUCUUUUGGUCCUGUGGCAUGUUCCCCAUGUCAUCCUCUGAUAAGGUUUUGUGUUGAAAUCCAGCAGCACAGGUCCACUGGAGUUUGAGCCAAGAUAUUGAACAAGAACCUGUUCUACAGUACUUGUUAAAAGAGAAUCAAAACAAAGCCUGUGGACACCACUAACUUGUGAUUAUCUUCCUUGAAAACAGCCAUAUUGCACUGUAGUUGUAAAAAAGCGUUAUGCAUUCUAUCUGUUAUGAAUGGUCAUAACACUAUUGUUUUAGUUCUGUAAGCUUUAUAUUUAAAACAGUAUUGCCAUCUUGUGGUUCUGACAAGUUUCAUCAAUCUGUUUCUUUCUGCAGCCAUUUUUUUCUUUAUUGUGUUGCCAAGAAUUCCCGAAAUGCCACGGUACAUAAAGUGGAACUGGUAUUGUACUCUUGCAAAAUGUGCAUAGAACAAUAAAAUUAAAGUAAAAUAAAGUAAAAUAGUAAAG